rnacentral:rRNA from 1 species
UACGUAGGGUGCAAGCGUUAAUCGGAAUUACUGGGCGUAAAGCGUGCGCAGGCGGUUUUGUAAGACCGAUGUGAAAUCCCCGGGCUCAACCUGGGAACUGCAUUUGUGACUGCAUCGCUGGAGUGCGGCAGAGGGGGAUGGAAUUCCGCGUGUAGCAGUGAAAUGCGUAGAUAUGCGGAGGAACACCGAUGGCGAAGGCAAUCCCCUGGGCCUGCACUGACGCUCAUGCACGAAAGCGUGGGGAGCAAACAGG